rnacentral:rRNA from 1 species
CUACGGGUUGCUCCAGUGAGGGAUUUUGCGCAAUGGGGGGAACCCUGACGCAGCAACGCCGCGUGAGUGAAGAAGGCCCUUGGGUCGUAAAGCUCUGUCAACAGGGAAGAAGUUAUGGAUUUUUAAUAGAGAUUUGUAUUGACGGUACCUGUGAAGGAAGCACCGGCUAACUCCGUGCCAGCAGCCGCGGUAAUACGGGGGGUGCAAGCGUUAUUCGGAAUUAUUGGGCGUAAAGGGCGCGCAGGCGGCCUUGUCAGUCAGAUGUGAAAGGCCAGGGCUCAACCCUGGAAGUGCAUUUGAAACAGCAAGGCUUGAGUACGGUAGAGGAAAGGGGAAUUCCUGGUGUAGAGGUGAAAUUCGUAGAUAUCAGGAGGAACACCGGUGGCGAAGGCGCCUUUCUGGACCUGUACUGACGCUGAGGCGCGAAGGCGUGGGUAGCGAACAGGAUUAGAUACCCUCGUAGUC